rnacentral:lncRNA from 1 species
GCCGCAGACCCGGCCCGCUCGGGGCGCGCUCCCGCGAGGCCGGGCACCACCGCCGGGGCCGUGUCCACCCGAAUCGGGGCGCCCCGGAGGCCGAGCGAGCGCGCAGCAGGUGCGGGACUUGGAGAGGUCACGCUGGCCGUGGGGGCUGCAUCCCCGUGACCGCCGAGGGCGGAGACCCGAGGCCCGGUGUCGGGUCCGAGCCGGCCUGGCUCCCUCAGCGGACUCGGCGUGGCGCGCGCUCCUAGGGCCCUUGAGACGUCCCUGAAAUGUGCGUGCCCGCGGCUCCCCGGCGCGCUUUGAAUCUGGGGGUCCUUAAGUUUCCCUCUGUCUCGUAGGACCCCCGCCCGCCCGGCGCUCGCUGUCCGGGGGAGCCGCCGGCCGGGAUGGAGACGCCCCGCAUCCGCGCUGUCCGAGGGCUCGGGGCGCUCCGCUGUGGCCAGCCCGCCUGUGUCCUCAGCCUCGGGCUCUGCGUUUGUGGAAGUGCGGCCUGAGGGUUCUGUGUGCUCUUAGGCAGAUCUGGGGCCCCUGGUGAAGAAGGCUCCAGCUAAAGUGAAUUUGCCCCUUGGGCUCCGCUGGAACAGAGCAACUCUACUGAGGCAAGAAGGAGGAGCUUCAGGAACAGGAAUCUCACUGGGAAGGACCCCUCCGCCCCCCGCCUCUGACCCGACACCCAUCAGAGCUGCAGAAGAGAGGCAGAAGAAACCCAGAAAAGGAGCAUUUCGCCCAGAGGGGUCAAGGCUUGAGUGAUUUCACGUUUAGAAGCCGUGUACCUUUCCAAGUUUUGAUGCUCUUCCAAGAACAACAGAAAAUGAACAAAUCCCAAGUGAGUUGUUUCUUUUCUUUGUUCCCUAUUUUGUUUUCCAGGGGGUUUCAUGGCUUUUAUAUGAUGCAAAAGUGGAAAUAGAUAAAAAGCUGCUUCCGGAAUUAGUGAGUGGGUGGCACCUGGCUAGCAGGCAGAGGUGGCUGUCCUCUGUGUAGGUCCACGGAUCCCACAGUCAUCACAGGUGAGCAGCACAUUUGUCUUUGAUCUUCUUGCUCCACACCGGGUUUUCGCUGACCACAGAGAGAACCCGGCCAGUAUUCCUGGGACAGAAAGACUUCCUGGCACCGGAGUCUGGAAAAAAUGUCCGUGAAGGUCUUCAGGUGGGGAAGAACCUUGUAGUGGCCCCCUGUCGCCUGUAAUUGUUCUUUGCUGGAAGCGGAGGGCAGAACUCAGUGAGGUUUUAUGAGGGACCAAAGCAUCGUGGAUUCCGUAGAGAGUUUUCUGAACGUCCGCUUUGAUCUAGAGACAAACCUAAGACUGUCUGGAGGAAUGAAAUAAAUGGACUGCAGGUCCUUAAAAUAACGUCUUA